CGUGUAGCAGUGAAAUGCGUAGAUAUGCGGAGGAACACCGAUGCGAAGGCAGCCCCCUGGGAUGACACUGACGCUCAUGCACGAAAGCGUGGGGAGCAAACAGGAUUAGAUACCCUGGUAGUCCACGCCCUAAACGAUGUCAACUAGCUGUUGGGGCUUCGGGCCUUGGUAGCGCASUAACGCGUGAAGUUGACCGCCUGGGGAGUACGGUCGCAAGAUUAAAACUCAAAGGAAUUGACGGGGACCCGCACAAGCGGUGGAUGAUGUGGAUUAAUUCGAUGCAACGCGAAAAACCUUACCUACCCUUGACAUGUCUGGAAUCCCGAAGAGAUUUGGGAGUGCUCGCAAG
rnacentral:rRNA from 1 species